rnacentral:misc_RNA from 1 species
GAAAUGCGAUACGUAGUGUGAAUUGCAGAAUUCCGUGAACCAUCGAAUCUUUGAACGCAUAUUGCGCUCGAGGCCUCGGCCAAGAGCAUGUCUGCCUCAGCGUCGGUUUAACCCUCGCUUAAACCUUCCCCUUGGAAGGUCUAAGCGGAGUUGAUCGUCUCGCUGCUCCUCGGUGCAGCGGGUCGGUUGAAGCACAGAGGCUCCGGCAAACACCCAAUUGGGCGCUGGCUAGGUAGGUAGCUCCGGCUGCAUGCCGCCAGACUGCCUUGGAUUUGCAUGUGAGCCCACUAGUAUCUUUCUAUUCGACCUGAGUUCAGGCAAGACCACCCGCUGAACUUAAGC